rnacentral:rRNA from 1 species
CGAUACAGGGUGACAGCCCCGUACACAAAAAUGCACAUAUUGUGAGCUCGAUGAGUAGGGCGGGACACGUGGUAUCCUGUCUGAAUAUGGGGGGACCAUCCUCCAAGGCUAAAUACUCCUGACUGACCGAUAGUGAACCAGUACCGUGAGGGAAAGGCGAAAAGAACCCCGGCGAGGGGAGUGAAAAAGAACCUGAAACCGUGUACGUACAAGCAGUGGGAGCACGCUUAGGCGUGUGACUGCGUACCUUUUGUAUAAUGGGUCAGCGACUUAUAUUCUGUAGCAAGGUUAACCGAAUAGGGGAGCCGAAGGGAAACCGAGUCUUAACUGGGCGUUAAGUUGCAGGGUAUAGACCCGAAACCCGGUGAUCUAGCCAUGGGCAGGUUGAAGGUUGGGUAACACUAACUGGAGGACCGAACCGACUAAUGUUGAAAAAUUAGCGGAUGACUUGUGGCUGGGGGUGAAAGGCCAAUCAAACCGGGAGAUAGCUGGUUCUCCCCGAAAGCUAUUUAGGUAGCGCCUCGUGAAUUCAUCUCCGGGGGUAGAGCACUGUUUCGGCAAGGGGGUCAUCCCGACUUACCAACCCGAUGCAAACUGCGAAUACCGGAGAAUGUUAUCACGGGAGACACACGGCGGGUGCUAACGUCCGUCGUGAAGAGGGAAACAACCCAGACCGCCAGCUAAGGUCCCAAAGUCAUGGUUAAGUGGGAAACGAUGUGGGAAGGCCCAGACAGCCAGGAUGUUGGCUUAGAAGCAGCCAUCAUUUAAAGAAAGCGUAAUAGCUCACUGGUCGAGUCGGCCUGCGCGGAAGAUGUAACGGGGCUAAACCAUGCACCGAAGCUGCGGCAGCGACGCUGAUGCGUUGUUGGGUAGGGGAGCGUUCUGUAAGCCUGUGAAGGUGUGCUGUGAGGUAUGCUGGAGGUAUCAGAAGUGCGAAUGCUGACAUAAGUAACGAUAAAGCGGGUGAAAAGCCCGCUCGCCGGAAGACCAAGGGUUCCUGUCCAACGUUAAUCGGGGCAGGGUGAGUCGACCCCUAAGGCGAGGCCGAAAGGCGUAGUCGAUGGGAAACAGGUUAAUAUUCCUGUACUUGGUGUUACUGCGAAGGGGGGACGGAGAAGGCUAUGUUGGCCGGGCGACGGUUGUCCCGGUUUAAGCGUGUAGGCUGGUUUUCCAGGCAAAUCCGGAAAACUAAGGCUGAGGCGUGAUGACGAGGCACUACGGUGCUGAAGCAACAAAUGCCCUGCUUCCAGGAAAAGCCUCUAAGCAUCAGGUAACAUCAAAUCGUACCCCAAACCGACACAGGUGGUCAGGUAGAGAAUACCAAGGCGCUUGAGAGAACUCGGGUGAAGGAACUAGGCAAAAUGGUGCCGUAACUUCGGGAGAAGGCACGCUGAUAUGUAGGUGAAGUCCCUCGCGGAUGGAGCUGAAAUCAGUCGAAGAUACCAGCUGGCUGCAACUGUUUAUUAAAAACACAGCACUGUGCAAACACGAAAGUGGACGUAUACGGUGUGACGCCUGCCCGGUGCCGGAAGGUUAAUUGAUGGGGUCAGCGCAAGCGAAGCUCUUGAUCGAAGCCCCGGUAAACGGCGGCCGUAACUAUAACGGUCCUAAGGUAGCGAAAUUCCUUGUCGGGUAAGUUCCGACCUGCACGAAUGGCGUAAUGAUGGCCAGGCUGUCUCCACCCGAGACUCAGUGAAAUUGAACUCGCUGUGAAGAUGCAGUGUACCCGCGGCAAGACGGAAAGACCCCGUGAACCUUUACUAUAGCUUGACACUGAACAUUGAGCCUUGAUGUGUAGGAUAGGUGGGAGGCUUUGAAGUGUGGACGCCAGUCUGCAUGGAGCCGACCUUGAAAUACCACCCUUUAAUGUUUGAUGUUCUAACGUUGACCCGUAAUCCGGGUUGCGGACAGUGUCUGGUGGGUAGUUUGACUGGGGCGGUCUCCUCCUAAAGAGUAACGGAGGAGCACGAAGGUUGGCUAAUCCUGGUCGGACAUCAGGAGGUUAGUGCAAUGGCAUAAGCCAGCUUGACUGCGAGCGUGACGGCGCGAGCAGGUGCGAAAGCAGGUCAUAGUGAUCCGGUGGUUCUGAAUGGAAGGGCCAUCGCUCAACGGAUAAAAGGUACUCCGGGGAUAACAGGCUGAUACCGCCCAAGAGUUCAUAUCGACGGCGGUGUUUGGCACCUCGAUGUCGGCUCAUCACAUCCUGGGGCUGAAGUAGGUCCCAAGGGUAUGGCUGUUCGCCAUUUAAAGUGGUACGCGAGCUGGGUUUAGAACGUCGUGAGACAGUUCGGUCCCUAUCUGCCGUGGGCGCUGGAGAACUGAGGGGGGCUGCUCCUAGUACGAGAGGACCGGAGUGGACGCAUCACUGGUGUUCGGGUUGUCAUGCCAAUGGCACUGCCCGGUAGCUAAAUGCGGAAGAGAUAAGUGCUGAAAGCAUCUAAGCACGAAACUUGCCCCGAGAUGAGUUCUCCCUGACUCCUUGAGAGUCCUGAAGGAACGUUGAAGACGACGACGUUGAUAGGCCGGGUGUGUAAGCGCAGCGAUGCGUUGAGCUAACCGGUACUAAUGAACCGUGAGGCUUAACCUU